rnacentral:lncRNA from 1 species
CAUGCUUAUUAGACUAGGAACCAUACAUUUCCUUUUUACAGCUUAUGAGCAUUGAGUGUGGUCAAGCUUUGUAGACCCUUAGGAGCUUGUCAUGCGGUUAAAAUCAAGAUUCACUUGCACGUUCACUCAUACAUGCUGCUUCUACUCCAGAAGUACACAUCCACAUACAUCCACUCAUUUCCAUCUCUAGAUUCACCCAAAAUUAUUCUACUCUUAUCCAGGAGAGAAUAGCCAAAAACAUUCUCCUAUCCCUGUUAUUCCCCAUAAAAUAAAUGCUCAAGAUAUUUUGGUUACUACGCCUUGCUACAUUAUUCCAGGAGGGUUAGUGCUCUGAAAAAAAUGAUGAAUACGAGGAAAUAAAAAGGGGCAAGUGCCCGGAAACCUCGAAGAAAAGAAAAAGUGAGACGAGAGGUAAAAAUGGACAAGUGUCCGACAGUAGAAUUAGGGGUACAAGAUACCCACCUGAGAGAAAAGAAAAAGAAAAUAUAGAGCAUCUCAUUCCCCCUCAAAAAGCUUCAAAGUGCAAGAAUGGUAUGUAUCCCCUCAAAAGAGCAAAAGUAGAAAUAGACUUUCACCAUUGUUUUCACCAUCAUCACCAUACACCAUUCAUUCACCACACAUGCACAUCUUGAUUUGACUUAUUGACUUGUUUCUGUGGAUCCAUGGUUUGACUAUGCAAUAAAUAUCUUGUAAGUAUGUAUUAGCUGUCUCCCACCUAUGAGCUCC